rnacentral:lncRNA from 1 species
CAGAUCCCAUGAAGGGGCCCCUCCUUCCAGAGCGGGACAGGGUCUGAGCAUGUCUUGGCUAUGUACUCACAAUAAAGCAGGGGCAGCCACCCUGGAUCCUGAGGCCCAUGGAUGGAAGCUGGCUUAUAGCACACACUGAGAGGAAACAAAAUUGAACCUUCUGGAGGUGGAGGUCUUCCCGGAGGAUCUCAAGUGACACAG